rnacentral:rRNA from 1 species
GAUGAACGCUGACAGAAUGCUUAACACAUGCAAGUCUUUGGCGAAGCUGUGCUUGCACAGCCUAGCCAAGGCGGACGGGUGAGUAACGCGUAAGGAACUUGCCCUGCAGUCAGGGAUAACAGACGGAAACGACUGAUAAGACCUGGUAAAGUCAGGCGGACUCAUGUCCAGCCUGAUGAAAAGAGAUGCUGCAGGAGAGCCUUGCGUCCUAUUAGCUUGUUGGUGGGGUAACGGCCCACCAAGGCGAUGAUAGGUAGCCGGCCUGGGAGGGUGGGCGGCCAACAGGGGGACUAGGUACGGCCCCUAUCCCGACGGGGGGCCACCGGGGGGAAGAUUGGGACAGUGGGGCAACCCUGAUCCAGCAAUUCUGUGUGCACGAUGAAGGUUUUCGGAUUGUAAAGUGCUUUCAGCAGGGAAGAAAAAAAUGACGGUACCUGCAGAAGAAGCGACGGCUAAAUACGUG